UACAGAGGUCCCAAGCGUUGUUCGGAUUCAUUGGGCGUAAAGGGUGCGUAGGCGGCGCGGUAAGUCGGGUGUGAAAUCUCAGGGCUCAACCCUGAAACUGCACUCGAUACUGCUCUGCUUGAGGACUGGAGAGGAGACUGGAAUUCACGGUGUAGCAGUGAAAUGCGUAGAUAUCGUGAGGAAGACCAGUGGCGAAGGCGGGUCUCUGGACAGUUCCUGACGCUGAGGCGCGCAAGGCCAGGGGAAGGCAAACGGG
rnacentral:rRNA from 1 species